ACCCUAAUUAUCAAAUAUAUAUUCAAAUUAAUAAUUAUUAAAUUUCUUUGUUAAUUCAAAAUAAUUUAAAAUAAUUAUUUUGAAUUAACAAAGAAAUUUAAUAAUUAUUAAUUUGAAUAUAUAUUUGAUAAUUAGGGUGAAGUCGUAACAUGGUAGUGGUAGGUGAACCUGCAGAAGGAUCAAGCUCGGCUGAGCGUCGUCUAGGGAAUGAGUGCAGAUCUCGGUGGUCGCCGCUUCAUUCCUACAUAUUUCCACCUUUUCUUCCACUUUAUUUCCC
rnacentral:misc_RNA from 1 species